CGUCUAUGGCUAGGUGUGGGGCGGGAUGCGCGAUGCGCAUGCCGGUUCGCCUAUUCAGACAAAUCACGAAAAGUGAUAGGAAGCGAGACGCAAUAACAGGUCUGUGAUGCCCUUAGAUGUUCUGGGCUGCACGCGCGCUACACUGAUUGGGGGAGCGAGUUGCUGCUGAGGCCGAAAGGCCCAAGUAAUCUUUGAAACCCAAUCGUGCUGGGGAUAGACGAUUGCAACUAUUUGUCUUGAACGAGGAAUUCCUAGUAAACGCGAGUCAUCAGCUUGCGUUGAUUACGUCCCUGCCCUUUGUACACACCGCCCGUCGCUACUACCGAUUGGGGUGUUUUAGUGAGUGUCUCGGACUGGGGGCGCAGGCCGCCGGGAAGAGAAGCAAACUUGAAUGCCUAGAGGAAGUAAAAGUCG
rnacentral:rRNA from 1 species